GCUAAAGAUAGCAGUUUUAUUUAAAUAUAUUUAAAAUAUUAUAGUCUUUGCUGUAAAAUAUAAGCAAUAUAGCAGCUAUUACGUUAUAUAAAUAACGUGUCAAGACAAAUAUCAAUGAGAAGAUAUUGAAAUAAAACCAGUUUUGUUGGAGGAGGGAGAAGUAAGUUAGCUAAUCUUACAGGAAACAAUGUUAGCAUAGCUACAUGAAGCUAGCAGGACAAGGGACUGCCGGAACGACGGCCGCCCGCAUGGAAGUAUUGUAGCCGGCGCCAUCACGCCCGCAACAACUCUGCUUCGGUUUUCUCACUGGGCAGCAGAAACAAAAUAAAAACGGGAACUGUCACAUCUUUCUUCCGUCAGGGGUGUAAAAUGUGGCACUUAUUAAUUCCCUCCUACACUGACAAACUCGAACGACAUCUUGGACAAUUCAAUAUUGGGAUUGAAUCAUCUCCACUUCCCGUCUCACCCUUAACACCCUAAGGUUUUGAGAAAUGUGUCUCAGAGAUUCCUGGCCCCACCCCAAUACAACAGAGAAGUAAAAAAAACGACAGAUAUACCUUCUUUGGAGAGGCGUGAGAUGUGUUCUCCCAGCUCCCGGAUGCUCC